CUAUAACUCUCUAAGACUAAAAGACUGACUUCUCUAGGUUCCUUUAUACUUGAGACUUAUUUCCAAGCUUCACAUCACAGACCACAGGCUUCAGUUUUCUACUUCCCCAAAGUGAUGGGCAUCUUACAUGACAUAAUAGGCUCUGCAAGCUGUUCCUUUGCUACGAAAAUGUGAGCUAUUAUUUCUCUCACCUCUCUUUCCUCAAGUCUAUUUAUUUUUUUUAAAAGCUUUUUAGUGUCAACAUUGACCCUUGUGUUUCAGAUUGCCCUCUCCCCUAGAUGGCAAGCAAUCCAAGAUAGCUUAUUUGUACAUGUUUAAGCCAAUAUAUGUAAACGUAUUUAUACAAUUCUCUUGCUCCACAAGAAAAAUCAGAUCAAAAAGAAAACAAAAAGCAAGCGAACGACAACAAAAAGAGGGAGAAUGUUAUAUUGUGGCCCACGCUCAGUUCCCUCCCUGGCUGUAGAUGCCUCUCUAUGACAAGAUCAUUGGAACUGGCCUGAAUCAUCUUAUUGUUGGAAAGAGUGACAUUCCUCAGAAUCGGUCAUCAUAUAAUAUCGAUGUUGCCGUGUACGAUGAUCUCCUGGUCCUGCUCGUGUCACUCAGCAUCAGUUCAUGUUUACUUCAUUCUUGGAUGGACGGGAGUUCCACGAAUCUCCAGUUCUGACACUACAGAAAAGAGCCGCUACAGAUAUCUUCGUACAGAUGAAGUUUUUGCCUCUCUUCGGAGUAGAAGCCUACAAAUGCCAUCACGAAACGACAGCGUGAUUCCAAAGUGCUUUUCCGGAUGCACUUAUUUCUCUAGCUGUGUCGGUGUGAAACCAUGAAUUGGGUGGAUUACUGCAGGAGGUCUAGGAAAGCCAAGUAAGUCUGGGUGAUCCAGGACAGGUGAAAACAUCGAUGGACUCCACAUUAUAGUGAAGCAUCAUGGAGUGAAGGUCAGUGUUUUGUUUCACCUCUUACUAAAUACCUUUUACUGGGCCUUUUCUUGGGCAAUGUGUCAGGAAGCGCUGUGGUUCUCUCUCCCUCUCUAUAUCUCCCCCUCUCUCUCCAUAUAUCUGUCUAUAUAUCUUUCUCUCUAUAUAUAUCUAUCUCUUUAUAUAUAUCUCUAUAUCUCUAUGUCUCUCUCUCUCUCUCCAUAUAUAUGUGUGUGUAUAUAUGUAUAGCUCUAUAUCUCUCUCUAAAUAUGUCUCUAUAUCUCUAUCUUUCUC